CUACGGAGGGGGUUAGCGUUGUUCGGAAUUACUGGGCGUUAAGCGCACGUAGGCGGAUUGGAAAGUUGGGGGUGAAAUCCCAGGGCUCAACCCUGGAACUGCCUCCAAAACUAACAGUCUAGAGUUCGAGAGAGGUGAGUGGAAUUCCAAGUGUAGAGGUGAAAUUCGUAGAUAUUUGGAGGAACACCAGUGACGAAGGCGGCUCACUGGCUCGAUACUGACGCUGAGGUGCGAAAGCGUGGGGAGCAAACAGGAUUAGAAACCCUAGUAGUCC
rnacentral:rRNA from 1 species